GUAACAGGCGAGUGCUUGCACUUGCGCUGACGAGUGGCGGACGGGUGAGUAACGCGUAGGAAUCUACCUGGUAGUGGGGGAUAGCCCGGGGAAACUCGGAUUAAUACCGCAUACGCCCUACGGGGGAAAGCAGGGGCUCUUCGGACCUUGCGCUAUUGGAUGAGCCUGCGUUAGAUUAGCUAGUUGGUGGGGUAAAGGCCUACCAAGGCGACGAUCUAUAGCUGGUCUGAGAGGAUGAUCAGCCACACUGGGACUGAGACACGGCCCAGACUCCUACGGGAGGCAGCAGUGGGGAAUAUUGCGCAAUGGGCGAAAGCCUGACGCAGCCAUGCCGCGUGUGUGAAGAAGGCUCUAGGGUCGUAAAGCACUUUAAGUGGGGAGGAAGGCUACUUGGUUAAUACCUGAGUAGAUUGACGUUACCCACAGAAUAAGCACCGGCUAACUCCGUGCCAGCAGCCGCGGUAAUACGGAGGGUGCGAGCGUUAAUCGGAAUUACUGGGCGUAAAGCGCGCGUAGGCGGUUUUGUAAGCUGGGUGUGAAAGCCCCGGGCUCAACCUGGGAACUGCAUUCAGAACUGCAAGGCUAGAGUACAGUAGAGGGUGGUAGAAUUUCCUGUGUAGCGGUGAAAUGCGUAGAUAUAGGAAGGAAUACCAGUGGCGAAGGCGGCCACCUGGACUGAUACUGACCCUGAGGUGCGAAA
rnacentral:rRNA from 1 species